CAGCAGCCACGGGAAAACGGAGGGAGCUAGCGUUGUUCGGAAUUACUGGGCGUAAAGCGCGCGUAGGCGGUUACUCAAGUCAGAGGUGAAAGCCCGGGGCUCAACCCCGGAACUGCCUUUGAAACUAGGUGACUAGAAUCUUGGAGAGGUCAGUGGAAUUCCGAGUGUAGAGGUGAAAUUCGUAGAUAUUCGGAAGAACACCAGUGGCGAAGGCGACUGACUGGACAAGUAUUGACGCUGAGGUGCGAAAGCGUGGGGAGCAAACAGGAUUAGAUACCCCCGUAGUCCCUGUCUCUUAUAA
rnacentral:rRNA from 1 species